AGUGGCGGACGGGUGAGUAACGCGUGAGAAUCUGGCUUCAGGAGGGGGACAACAGUUGGAAACGACUGCUAAUACCCCAUAUGUCUACGGAUGAAACGGUGAAUUCCGCCCGAAGAUGAGCUCGCGUCGGAUUAGCUAGUUGGUGAGGUAAAGGCUCACCAAGGCGACGAUCCGUAGCUGGUCUGAGAGGAUGAUCAGCCACACUGGGACUGAGACACGGCCCAGACUCCUACGGGAGGCAGCAGUGGGGAAUUUUCCGCAAUGGGCGAAAGCCUGACGGAGCAACGCCGCGUGCGGGAAGACGGCCUGUGGGUUGUAAACCGCUUUUCUCUGGGAAGAAUAAGUUGACGGUACCAGAGGAAUCAGCAUCGGCUAACUCCGUGCCAGCAGCCGCGGUAAUACGGAGGAUGCAAGCGUUAUCCGGAAUUAUUGGGCGUAAAGCGUCCGCAGGCGGCUUAUCAAGUCUGCUGUUAAAGGUCGGGGCUCAACUCCGGUUCGGCAGUGGAAACUGAUAGGCUAGAGUGUGGUAGGGAUAGAGGGAAUUCCCAGUGUAGCGGUGAAAUGCGUAGAUAUUGGGAAGAACACCAGUGGCGAAGGCGCUCUACUGGGCCACGACUGACGCUGAGGGACGAAAGCUAGGGGAGCGAAAGGGAUUAGAUACCCCUGUAGUCCUAGCUGUAAACGAUGGACACUAGGUGUUG
rnacentral:rRNA from 1 species